rnacentral:ncRNA from 1 species
UUUUUGGAGAGUUUGAUCCCGGCUCAGGAUAAACGCUGGCGGUGUGCUUUAUGCAUGCAAGUCGGACGAGUCACUUCGGUGGCUAGUGGCGGACGGGUGAGUAACACGUAAGUAACUUGUCCUUAAGUGGGGAAUAACUCUGAGAAAUCGGAGCUAAUACCGCAUGUGGUCCUUCACCGCAAGGUGAAGGUCUAAAGCCUUCGGGCGCUUGAGGAGGGGCUUGCGCACGAUUAGCUAGUUGGUGAGGUAACGGCCCACCAAGGCGACGAUCGUUAGCUGGUUUGAGAGGACGACCAGCCACACUGGGACUGAGACACGGCCC